rnacentral:rRNA from 1 species
CCUGAUAUUGAAUUUUGGUACAGCUUGUACAGGAUAGGUAGGAGCCUGAGAAGCCGGAGCGCUAGCUUCGGUGGAGGCGUCGGUGGGAUACUACCCUGGCUGUAUUGAAAUUCUAACCCACAGCCCUGAUCGGGCUGGGAGACAGUGUCAGGUGGGCAGUUUGACUGGGGCGGUCGCCUCCUAAAAUGUAACGGAGGCGCCCAAAGGUUCCCUCAGAAUGGUUGGAAAUCAUUCGUAGAGUGUAAAGGCACAAGGGAGCUUGACUGCGAGACCUACAAGUCGAGCAGGGACGAAAGUCGGGCUUAGUGAUCCGGUGGUUCCGCAUGGAAGGGCCAUCGCUCAACGGAUAAAAGCUACCCCGGGGAUAACAGGCUUAUCUCCCCCAAGAGUCCACAUCGACGGGGAGGUUUGGCACCUCGAUGUCGGCUCAUCGCAUCCUGGGGCUGUAGUCGGUCCCAAGGGUUGGGCUGUUCGCCCAUUAAAGCGGUACGCGAGCUGGGUUCAGAACGUCGUGAGACAGUUCGGUCCCUAUCCGUCGUGGGCGUAGGAAAUUUGAGAGGAGCUGUCCUUAGUACGAGAGGACCGGGAUGGACGCACCGCUGGUGUACCAGUUGUCUUGCCAAAGGCAUAGCUGGGUAGCUAUGUGCGGAAGGGAUAAGUGCUGAAAGCAUCUAAGCAUGAAGCCCCCCUCAAGAUGAGAUUUCCCAUAGCAUUAGCUAGUAAGAUCCCUGAAAGAUGAUCAGGUUGAUAGGUCAGAGGUGGAAGCGCGGUGACGUGUGGAGCUGACUGAUACUAAUCGAUCGAGGACUUAACCUA